rfam:Stegodyphus mimosarum contig96619, whole genome shotgun sequence.
GCCUUCGUGGUGUAGUGGUCAGCACACUGAGCCGGUAUUUCAGAGGUCCGCGGUUCGAUUCCCGGCGAAGGCG